UACGUAGGUGGCAAGCGUUGUCCGGAUUUACUGGGCGUAAAGGGCGCGCAGGCGGUCUGUUAAGUGCAGGGUGAAAGCUCCCGGCUCAACUGGGAGAGGUCCUUGCAUACUGGCGGACUUGAGGGGGGUAGAGGAAAGUGGAAUUCCCGGUGUAGUGGUGAUAUGCGUAGAUAUCGGGAGGAACACCUGUGGCGAAGGCGGCUCGCUGGGACGGUACUGACGCUGAGACGCGAAAGCGUGGGGAGCGAACAGG
rnacentral:rRNA from 1 species